ACAAAGCAAUAUUUUUUACUACGCUACGUCUUGUCACGGUCGGUCUUGUUAAUUUUUAAAACUAUUUAAACCUAUUCGACCAUAUUAUAAUCAAAGUUAAAUCUACAUAUUUUUCAGAAAUGUUUAAAGAAAAAGUAACAUGUAUACACUGCUACUAAAUAUUUCGUUUGCUAAUAUUUUAUCCAAGCUAGGCCAAGAAAACUCGUUAAUAUUCUGAGGACUAUCGUAUUUAUGCAAGACACGAGAAACCUCAACAAGACACUAUCAAUGAGUAUACAAGUACUACGUUUUGAUACUAUAUAUUUUUUUUGUCUUUGGUUAAAAGAUAACCUAACUUAUUUUCAUUUUUAUAUAUUUUAUAUAAUUUCUAAAAGUAAAUAAUUAAUUAAUUUUAUAUGCUUUUUGUUUUUUAAGAUUGGUAAUAAUGUGUUGUUAUUUAGAUUCAUUACUCUGCCAAUACUUAGAAAACCGUGAUCGAAGAGAAUUUGAGCAGGGCCUAUGUGAUGCUCACAGACAGAACCAUCCCAUACAAACUGUUUGAGGCAAGUUUGAAGACGAAGUACCCUUGGAGUAUCAUGCCAUGUGUGUGAAAUGUGCAUUUUGUUGUUCGACAUUUUAAUGUUUCUAUGUGAUCUGCCUGUGUACUUUGCGUAUGUUUGUGAAAAAAUCGGCUGUUGCGAAUAUGUUGAAGAUGACGAUGAUGAACUCGACUUGAAAAGUGCUAUAGCCAAACCACAGACAAGCGUUAUACCGUGAUUUGGAGCACAAACGUGUCCAUAAAGCUCUUUUAUUUUUUUACCUUCCAAAAUUCGAGGAGAUAAGACGUUUUCUACAUUUUACAUACAUCGAGACCUUGACUUCAAUCAACAACAGAAGUCCUAGAUAGCUGUUGUUUCUGUACAUUUUUUAAACAAAAUGUGUUGUAUGCUGGGCGCCCUCUGCCGGUGCAUGUGGGCACCGUGCGGGUGGGAGAACUGCUGGCGUGACUGCUGGAUGAAGUGUGGCUCUGAGUGCUGCGAUCCGAAUAAUCCUGACUGAAGUUCAUGAAAUGUUAUAUUAUGAUGUAUAGAUGUAAAGAUUUGUGAAUCUCAUCAAGAGUUGUGUCAUGAUUGCUAAAUCUGCCGGGUGAUGAAAUUGCAGAGGUGAAAAUUGAAAAUAUACCUAUAAAUGAUCCCAAUGCAUGAACCUCAUCAAAAGUUGUACCAUGAUUUCAAAUAAAGUAUGUAGGUAAGUAGGUAGGUAUAAUGAUUACUAAAUCUGCUUGUGAUGAAAUUAACAAAUAUUAAAAUUGAAAAUAACAGAAUGAAAAUGUAUAACACUCAGAAUAACCAACUCGAUUCAAUACUAAAAACGAUUUUUUUUUUACUCUACGUUAGAUGUCACAUUAGACAUUGCCUCAAAAUAGAUUUGAAGUUGAAACUGUUUUCAAAAUAAAGUUGAAAGUGUUUUUACAUAUAUUUUACAAAAGCCAUAAUUUGUGCUUUAUAUCAAGGCAUAUAUUGAAUUGAAUAAACGAAAAUGAAAGAUCCGUACGCUAAAAGCCGGUUUACAUAAGCUCUAGCCCGAUCUUAAAAGCUAUACUUACAUGAUUUAAUGCUAUAAUAAUAAAGGACGAUAAACCAAGUAAAGUACUGAUACGAAGUUGAUUCAAAUGCUCCUAUAAAAAAUUAAUAUUAUUAUCCAGCGAGAGUGUCAACCAAAGAACAUUUUCUUAUUCGCAUCGACCAAUAAUUUGCCGCUGACUCAGCAGUUAAACAUCACUGCAUCAUGAGAAACUGUAUAGGUACUUACAUCGGUACCAACUGACACAUACAAAAAUGUGCUGUAUUUUAAUAGACUGUUGCAAAUUGCUGUUUAACUCUUCAUUGUGUUCUGAAUGUUGUAGAAAUGCUUGUGAAAGAUGUGGCUGUGACUGUUCCAUGCAUUCUUGAACAUCUAUUGGUCCAGCUUUGAAUAUUCCUACUUCGAAAAGAUGAACCCCUAACCCAACAUCCUCCAUAGGCAGUUCAUAGGUCAUGCCUAGUUGCCCAAAUGUUCUUAUAUAGUUAUUUUUACUAAUUCUUCUUUGUUAUUUGUAUUAAAAGUGUGUUGUAUGCUAGUAACCUGUAGUAGAUUAUUUUGGACGCCAUGUGGUAUGGUAAAUUGUUGGAGGGAUUUCUGUGAUCCUAAUAAUCCUACUUAAGAUUUUUAUUUAUGUGGUAGAAAUGUAUGAAGCAAUUGUCGAAGCAUUUUUAUUCUUUUUAUUUAAACAGUGUGGAAUAAUAGGUUCUUAAUAAAUAAAAUGUAGUUAAAUAAAUUUUUCAUAGUUGUAGCUAAAAGUAACCAAUAGAAUUAUGUCAAUUCUUGCACAUUGAAGCUUAUUUAAAAUAUUUAUUAUUUAAUUGCUGACGAAUGAAAUCACUGCUAGUAGAAGUAGUAGUAAAGCCUUAUGGGCGUUCAAAGGCUGAUCUCUAAAAAUCCUCAGAAGAACAAAACACGUUUCUUAUCUGUUCUGAUCUUAUAAGAUUGACGGUUUUGACGGCUGUGCAUUCUUCACCCGCUCCACCCCACACAGAUUAUAAUUUAUCAAUUUAUCAAAACCAAAUCAAACCAAUAAAUAAACCAAUCAAAACUUACCAUGAACAGUUAAAACGUGGUCAAAACGUCAACGAAUCAAAUCAAAUAAUCAAAUCUAACCACAAUCAAACUGUAAAACCAUUGUAAAACUAAAAGAAUCAAUAAAUUUUAAUAUGAAAACAAAUAAACUUAUACUGAUUGCUAUAAACAAUUACUUGGAGUAAUAGCACAGCUUCCAUAUUAUAGUAAUAGUUAAAAAUAAUUACAAACUUAUUAUGUGCUGUAUCAUAGUAGACUUAUGUAAAGCAUUAUGUAAUUCCCCCAUGUGUUCAGAUUGUUGCAGAAAUGCUUGUGAACGGUGUGGAUUUUUAACGUUAUAUGAUACGUAAAUAAACUAUCUAUUAUCUUA